UAUAAGUUGUGGUAGGAGUUAUAGAAUGAACACUUAUUUCACAAUGUGUUGUACAGACAGUUGUAGCUGAAAUGUGCAACCAGUUCUACAGUGUUUUAAAAGAAAUUUCAAAAGAUAACUAACAUUUAGGACGAAUUAUGUUCUAGGUCUGUCAAUAUUACUUUUGUUAUUAAAUAAUAAUGGAAACUGCUCAAAGUUAUUUUGUUAUUUUGUAUAUGUUGGAUAUAAUCUAAUAUUUCACAACUGCGAAAUGCCGCGUUUUGAAAAUCUGGUAUCACCAUGAGCGAUAAUGUGUACUUGAGUGUGGCACUUGUAAAACCUGAUUUCAUUGGCAAUAUACGAACCGAUCCGAGUUUCGUCGAUUGAAUAUAAACACUGCAUAAUAACAUUGUGUAUCUCCAAUAUUCGCAAGUAAAGUCGACUGAAACUGCUUUUUCCUUCAAGGAAAUCCCAAAGGAAAUGUUGCCUUCUAAGAUAACGUGUUUUCCCUUUAAAUACAUAUCAAUUUAUAGCCAGUACCUUAUACAAUUGAACUGAGUUGAAAAAAUUCAUUAAAUGUUUAAAAUUACUUAUAACUUAUAAUGUACAUAUCUUCAUAAUACUUAAUGUAAAUAAGUACAUUUUAGCGCCAUCUUGGAAUCGAUUUGAGCGUUAUUAAAGCAACUUCUGAUAAUGAUAUGAUAACUAAGCAUUUUACUUGCCGCCAGAACCGCGCUGGUGCAUAAAUAAGCGAAAGUAAUGCAUAAUACGAAUAGUAAUACUACCAUGACGUCGGAAACUAAUAACUUAGGAGCCGCAAUUUUACAAUCACAACUUCAUGAUCUUUGCAUCGUGUGUAAUAAAAAGGUGCGGAGUUGUGCAAAGUCUUCCAUCCAUGAAGUCUUGCCUAAAAGUGAUCCACCAAUAAAGUUGUUUGAGGUCCUCAAAUUGUUAUCAAAUUUUGCACACUUGAAUCAGGAUGAGUGUCCUUUAUCAGCUUGUGGUGCUUGUGUUGGGAAAGCUAUUCAAGCAUAUAGCUUUCAAAGAUUGUGUAAUAAGUCUGUUGAGUUCAUCAGAAAUUGUAUUCCACAUGUGGAUGAAAGCAAUCACACAAUCUCUAAGUUUCCUCUUUCUGAAAACAAUCAUCAGGAGGCUGAAACAAUCAAUAAUCCAGAGCAUAAUGUAAACAUUGAUGAUUUGAAUGUUCCUACUAAAUUAGCAAGUGUAAAGAUUGAAAUUUUAUCAUCUGAUGAUGAAAACAAUGUUGAUAAUGGCAAACAACUGCAAAUAGAGCCAAGCAGACAACAUUGCAAAGUGGCAAAGAAAUGGUGGGAUGCAUAUAUUGCCAUAAAAAUAUUCCAUAUGAACAUUACCUGCUUCAUAAACAAAAACACACAGAGAAAAGACCAUACGCAUGUAAAAUUUGUGGCAAAAAUUUCGAAUCUUCUAGGUUGCGAAGGCAACAUGUAGGACAAAUGCAUAUGCAUCGUCCUUUUGUAUGCCAUCUUUGUGGUAAAAGGUUUAUAAUGGAGGCUCAUUUAAUUGGACAUACUCGUCGUGCUCACAAGCAUUCAUGCAAGUUCUCAUGCAACAUUUGUGGAAAAUCGUUCAUCCAAGAAUCCAGUCUAAAACAGCAUCGUGCAACGCAUAUUGUCAAAAAAUAUUUGCCGAGGCCAAGCCGAUUUGGUGUUCAACCGGAUCUCAAACAUCAACUCAAAAGGAAGCCAAUUAAAACUGAGCCGAUGCAGUAAAAAUCUAUAGUUACAAUAUAUUCAAUGAUCAAAUAAGAUCAUCAUUUAUUUUCAGAGAUUUUCUUUAAGUUUUAAUAAAAGUGACAAAUCUGAGACAUGUAAA